rnacentral:lncRNA from 1 species
GGCUAGUUGGGCCCUAGGUUGAAAGGCUGUGGGCCUUUCGGGUUCUUGAGGUCUAAGUUAUGUGGGCCUCAAGGGACCAACUCUUUAUGGGUCAGGUCUGUACCCAAGAGAGGUGAGAUUAGGUUAAGUCAUGGGUGUACAUGGGCUUGGGUUAACCUAAUCUCCUAUAGAGUUGGUCAAGAGAGUUUUGGGUUUGGGUCACUUGACCCGGUGUUUAUAUAUACAUAUACUUGUAUAGGUUUAAUUGAGCCAAGAAAAUAGACAACUCUUUCUUCCAAGUCUCUCUCUCUCUCUUCUCCCUCUCUCUCCAGCAAUUCUCCAUGCCCCAGGAGCAAGAAACCCUAGGAUUUCUUGCCGCCAGUCCAUAAAAGGAAAGAGAAGAAGGGGAGGCGCUAGCCCCUUCCCCCUUGCAGCCGC